AUGUAGGAAAUACAAGUGCUGAAAGAAAACAAGACUGUGGCCAAGAAGAACAGCAUGCAGUACUGAAGGAUGAAAAUAGAAGAGUGAUGCAAACUGGAAGAUGUCCUGAUGGAAGGGGACGAGAUAAACUAACUUGUGGAGAUAAACAGGUUCCAGUUGGCAACGGAGGAGGCUGGAGAAGCAUGAGGUUGCUGUGGUGGACGUCUCUAGUUGGUGUAGAUACAUGUUUA